AAACUGGGAUUAGAUACCCCACUAUGCCAGGUCAUAAACUUCGGACUACCCGCCAGAACAUUACGAGCUACAGCUUAAAACUCAAAGGACUUGGCGGUGCUUUACACCACCUAGAGGAGCCUGUUCUAUAAUUGAUACCCCCCAAUAAACCUCACCAUCCCUUGCAAAUACAGCCUAUAUACCACCGUCACAGCCCACCUCAUUAGAGAAUAACAGUAGGCUUAAAAAUUUAAAAUUAAAAAGUCAGGUCAAGGUGUAGCAAACGGGUUGGGAAGAAAUGGGCUACAUUUUCUUUAAGAAAACACGAAAGACUUUAUGAAACUCAAAUCUGAAGGAGGAUUUAAUAGUAAAAAGAAAAUAGAGCGUUCUUUUUAAAUUGGCAAUAAAGCGAGCACACACCGCCCGUCACCCUCUAAUCAUUAACAAAUUAAAAUAUAUAAUAAUUAUUUAAAAUAGAGGAAAGUCGUAACAUGGUAAGCGCACA
rnacentral:rRNA from 1 species